UACGAAGGGGGCUAGCGUUGCUCGGAAUUACUGGGCGUAAAGCGCACGUAGGCGGCUCUUUAAGUCGGGGGUGAAAUCCUGGAGCUCAACUCCAGAACUGCCUUCGAUACUGAAGAGCUUGAGUCCGGGAGAGGUGAGUGGAACUGCGAGUGUAGAGGUGAAAUUCGUAGAUAUUCGCAAGAACACCAGUGGCGAAGGCGGCUCACUGGCCCGGUACUGACGCUGAGGUGCGAGAGCGUGGGGAGCGAACCGG
rnacentral:rRNA from 1 species